GAGGAGGAGACCAUCUCUCUGGAUUCCAGAAGGCAUGAGGACCCAGAUGCUAUACAGUGGGAAAACCAGCCUGGCAACAUAAGCUCACAAGCUAUCAGAAAGUUGUAUGGCAACCACCUCCGGCGCCAAAUAGAACUGGCAGACAU